UAUGUACGUAUAGAGAGAAGAGUGACAUGUUCUGUUCUAUUCGGUAAUACAAAACAGAUAGAGAGAGAAAAAGAGAGAGAGCUUUGGAUUGUGUUUCCUCAGGUCGGCGUUGCUCCGGCGCGUCGUCACUCACGAACACCAUAUUCGGUUUUGUUCCAUCUCUAGCUAGCCAUUAAACCAACUUUGAGUAUUAAUCGGUGGUUUAUUCGACAUGGAUCUGGGAUCCAAAAUUGAAGAAAAUUCUGGUUAGUAGCUUCCUCCGUCAAGUCUCAACCGGAGAUCUUCAUCGCCUCUCCUUGCUUGCUUAGAAUCUUCAGUUCCAGAUCCACGAUGGCCUAGCAAGCAUCGUUGGUCGGCGUUGAAGAACGAGGUUGCAAACCAAAUCACCAUAUCCUCUGCUCCCGACUCUUCUUCUUCACCGCCGGCGAAGUCUCUCCUUCCCACGGCCGUUGAGAAAUCGCUGGUCUCUGUUCAUUCUACUACUCCGGUGGCAUCGAUAUCCAAAGUGGUGGAUGGUGUCUCGCCGGAAGAUACCACUGCUCUUCUCACGAUGCCGUAAGUCAACCUCCUCCGAAGAUUCCAUCAUUACCACUUAACGCCGAGCCUGAACCGGUGUCUUCAAGCAAGCUUUCAUCUGAACCCGUGGAGGUUGUUGUUGAUGCAUCUAACAAACCCAAUGCCCCUAAGGAUUUGGUUUCUCCACCUUUGAAAAGAGCUUGGGCGAAGAAGCUAAAGUAUACCUCUUCAUCCACCUCGCAACAAGCUGCGAAUGGAGUAACAAUCUCUGGACCGAGGAAAAAUCUUCCUGAAUCAUCACAGGAAGAUAAUCUAACGUUUCCUUGGGCUGCUAAAAUGGAUCCGGCAGCAAGAAAUCUUUACAGAGCUACCUCACCGGAGUAUAUGGAAGACGGUACUCCAAAAGUAACAAUUCCGAGUCAUGUCUUGUUGCAAGGUAUUGAGAAUCAGAAGGAAUAUGUUUUAGGUCAGUUCUAUAGAUGUAGUCCUCCUCCUAAUGGAUUGAUUCAUGCAGUGUUAAAUAGAAUUUGGGGUAGAAAGUGUAAGAUCUUUAUGCGCAAGUUAGAUGGUUCAAGAUUUCUCUUCCAUAUCCCAGAUGCUUCAACCAGAGCUUGGGUUUUCCAAAGAGGAAUAUGGCAUGUUGAUGAUUGUCUUAUGUUUGUUGCUCCUUUGUCUGAUGCAGAAACAUUUGAUCUCCUAGAGAUAUCAACUAUUCUUGUCUGGGUAACACUCAAAAAUAUACCACACAGGUUGUACUCAAUUCCAGGAAUUAGUCAUAUUGCAUCAGGGUUAGGUGCCCCUAUGGCUACGUAUAAAUCAAGACUUGACCCUUCCUUAAUGGGUGAGGCCAAGAUAUUGGUGGAAGUGGAGCUGAGUAAAGCUUUCCCUCCUAGGAUUGCUGCAGCUGACAAAAGGGGUAACAUUUCUAUGGUGAAUGUUGAGUAUGCUUGGAUCCCAGCGGUUUGUGGAGAUUGUGGACAAUUAGGGCAUAAGGCCUCCCGCUGUUUGCACCCCCAUCUGCCGAAUGAAAAAGUUACUCAGCUGGUUUGAAAAGAUGUCACCGCUCCUACUAUUGUAAGUAUUUCUAGUCUCUCUGCUUUGGUAUCACUAAUCACUCUUCCAUCUGAGCCUCCAGUUGCUCCCAUUACCACAACCACCAAAAUCCAACUCGGUACAGCUCUAGCAGUUGAGGCUAGCCCAAUCCAAGUCAUAGAGGAAAGCACCGAGGUGGCAGAUUGUCAUACAAUUGUUGAAGCUGGAAUUGUAACUGAGGCUGUUUACUCAGUUGAAACAGUUACUGAAAUAGCAGGCUCACAUGAACAUGCUCUUAGUGAACGUGAGGUAAGACAUGUCAUGACUAACAACAGGUUUAACCAUUUGGGGUCUUCGUUUUCAGAUGGAGAGUCACUUGAGUCAGAUGGAGAUUCAAUUGAGUCCGAUGAUUCCGACACUGAGUCGAGAAUGUUGGAUCAAAUGACUCCGGCUGGACAACGAAUUUUGCGUGAAAGACUAGUUCAACCUUCCAUCAAAGCUAAGGAGAUACAAGAAUCUUCUAAUGCUCGAGGAAGGGGUAACCGGGGACGUGGGAAUUGUGGACGCGGGAAUCGUGGACGCGGAAACCAUGGGCGUGGUUAGGUGUCCUGUCAUGAAGAGAUAAGAAGCUAACCGAAGCGGAAGAUUCGGUUACCAACUUUAUUCUACUUGUAAUAUGAGCAUCUGUCUGUAUUAAUUUCUUGUUUUUAAGAACUGUUUGUGUAGUCAUUGCUUCUGUAUCACGAACUUGUUAUAAAUAAAA